AUGAGAACACCCCACGCAGCGCUCCUCUUGCUCUUCAUCCUGUCGUGCUCCCGCGGCGCCUACUCCGGCGGCGGCCGGAACCGCUUCACCUCCAUAAUCAGCUUCGGCGACUCCUAUGCCGACACGGGUAACUUGGUCAGGUGGGCUGAUCCCGUCCUUCCCGGCCCGAACCCAUUAAACAACCUCCCCUACGGCGAGUUCUUCGGCUACCCCACCGGGCGCGCCACCGACGGCCGCGUUGUGCUGGACUUCAUCGCUCAGGCUUUGGGUCUGCCUUUCGUGCCGCCGUACCUCGCCAAGGGGAGCAACUUCUCCGCCGGAGUGAACUUCGCCGUGGCAGGAGCGCCGGCUCUGAACCUGACAUACCUGCAGGGACAGAAUUUGACGGUGGACCCUCCGAUCAACCGCUCCCUCCACGAUCAGCUCGACUGGUUCCAGAAACUGAAGCCUUCGCUCUGCAAGGGUAGGCGCUGCAGGCAUGCAGGAAAAGGUGCUGAUUGCUUCGGGAGCUCCCUGUUUGUCAUGGGAGAGUUUGGAGCAAAUGACUACAACUUCCUUAUUUCGUCCAACAGGACCGUGGAGCAAGCCAGAGUUUAUGCUCCUCAAAUUGUUGACAGCAUCUCCCGAGGCGUAGAGAUACUGAUCCAGCAUGGCGCCAAGUACAUAGUUGUGGCAGACAUCUUCCCGAUUGGCUGCCUACCGGCAAUUCUCACGAUGCUCGCUAGCCCAAACAAGAAGGAGUAUGAUGGGCACGGAUGCCUGAAGAGUAUGAACAAGCUGGGGCGCUACCAGAACUCUCUCCUCCGACGACGGAUCAAGGUGCUACGGUACAAGUACCCACAUACGAAGAUCAUUGCCACCGAGUACUUCCGACCGGUCCUUGCAUUCAUACAAAAGCCGAGCCAUUUUGGACUGAACAGCAGCACAACCCUUCUCACCUGCUGUGGCGCGGGAGGCCCUCCUUAUAACACCGACUUCAACGCAGGGUGCGGACAGCCGGAUGCGACAGCGUGCGCAGAUCCUUCGGAGGCACUACAAUGGGAUAGUUUCCACCUCACAGAAUCCGCCUAUAGGUUCAUCGCCGAUGGGUGGCUCCACGGCCCUUACGCGGAUCCACUAAUAAUGGACGUUGCACGCUACUAG
rnacentral:rRNA from 1 species